GUGUACAUCGAGUGAGCGAGUCAACGAAGAUGGCUGGGGAGCUGCUGGGUUUACAGCCUACAGAUGGCGACAGCAUUUUCACCUACACUCGCAUACGAGAGAAAAAUCCAGAACAGAGAUUUUAUAAACAGAGAGAUUGUAAUUGGGAGGAAUUGGAAAAGAAAAGAAGGGCCAACAAAUUCAAAAACAGAGAGAUCAACACAAAUAAAACUUAACACUGCUUGUCAAACAACAUUUAAGUACUAGAAUUGUCAGGGCACAAUUGGGUUCCUCGCUUAUCACUGUUUCUCAUACAUUUUUUAAAUCAGCUUUUAGGGUACAAACACAAAGGGGAGACUACUCCUUGGAGGAUUUGUUGAUGAGGGAUUUGUGAAUGUGCGGGAUAACCCCACCACCAGCAAUGGUUCCUUUGAUGAGCGUGUCAAGUUCUUCGUCCCCCCGUAUAGCAAGCUGCAAAUGCCUUGGUGUUAUACGUUUCACCUUGAGAUCCUUGCUUGCAUUCCCCGCCAACUCCAACACUUCAGCGGUAAGAUACUCCAGUAUAGCUGCUGUAUAAACAGCAGCUGUUGCCCCAACCCUUCCAUUUGCAGAAACCCUAGUUUUCAAAAGACGAUGAACCCGCCCCACAGGGAACUGCAGGAAAGGUAUGGGAAAACGCUUAUAUAAAAAGAUCAUAUAUAACUUUUUUUUUAAAAAUGUAAAUCGAGUUCCUAUUUGUUUAAGCAAACAUAUUACUUCAGAUAUCAUCAAACAGAAAGUCAUAUCCCAUGCAUUCAGGUUCAGCAAGUUCAUAUGCAAUACAUUUCACAAAGAAACUUCUGACUUCAAUAAAAAAAAUAUCAACUCAUCCCACUUGUACUUCAGCAUUGGCAUUGUUUAAUUACCAAGACACCCUCCAGCAGUAUUCUUAAUUAGUGCAAAAGUGCCGCAGACAAUACCAAAUCUCUUAUUUUAUUUUGAAAAAUUUACAAUUUAGUCUUUAAAUUUUGCCCUAUAUUACACUUUAGUCCUUGAAUUUUAAAAAAUUAAUUAUUUAGCACUUAAAUUUCACACUAUAUUACACUUUAAUCCCUGAAUUUUGAUAAAUGAAUUAUCAAGUCCUUGAAUUUUAGACUAUAUCAUAAUUUAGUCCUUGUAAUUUUAAUAUAUAGAACAAUGUAAUCCUUCUGUCAGUGGAUGAGAUUACUGUAAACAUUAAAAUUACAAGAAUUAAAUUGUUCUACGUAUUAAAAUUAAAGGACUAAAUAGUUCAUUUCUCAAAAUUCAAAGACUAAAGUAUAAUAUAAUGCAAAAUCUAGAGACUCAGUAAUUAAUUUCUCAAAAUUUAAGGACUAAAGUGUAAUAUAUGACAAAGUCCAAGGACCAAAUUGUAAACUUCCCUUUUACUUUUGCACAAGUGUUACAGGGCUAUUUUAGUUGAUGUGCAGUAACGAAUAGGGGAGUACACAGUGUGUGAAUUGGAAGUCCUCGCUUUGCCCAUCCUACUUCAUUGAUUGUAAGCUUAAAAGCUCCAUACCUGCAUUUCUGCUCCCUCAAUUCUUUAACCAAGGACCUGUUCAGUUCAUACCCUUUGAAAUGAUCAUUUCUCACAGAUUACUCAAAAGUUUCUCACUUCCAUUAAGUUGUCUAAGCAACAGAGCAGAAAUCAAAUUUGGAGGUUAAGCAUGACAAUGGAGGAAGAGAGAUGCAAACCAUUGGCUCAUUCUUGUAAAGCAUAUCCUGGGAAUAUUUCAUUUGUCAUACACGCAUAAACAUAUAGUUCUACAAUAACCAACUUCGGUGCAGUAACUAUACGACACUUUGUGACAGAAACACACAACUCCAUGCAUGAUAUUCCAUCUUGAUGUUGAACAAAGCAAUCUUGCCUUUAACAGCUAGAGCAAGCAUGUUCUUUUCUUGUCACUCAAUCUUUUCCUUCAAUGCUAAUGCCCUAAAAGUUCCUCCCAUUUGUGUAGCUCGUUCAUUAACUACACAAAUUCCCAAUUCAAAGUUUUGUUAUGAAUGCUUAAAGGCUUAAAGCCCUAAACCAAAUUUAAAGAUGAUAAUCCACCUGUGUAGCUAUGGUCUUAUUAUCAGAGCCUGGAAGCUUUUUAUUAAUCAUCCAAAAGAUCAUGGGAAUGAGGCUUGGCAGAGAGCAAAAAUUACACACUCAAAAGUAACCCUUUUUAUCCAAAUCUACAUGCUGCAAAUUAUAUCCAACUGACAUUUUUCACUUUGCUAUUCAGUAUCCUUCUGCAGAUAGAUACUUAAGAAAGAAGUGCCCCUUCCUUGCACACGUUCCAUGGUAAGAAAUGGAGAAAGAAAAAGGUAACAAGUUAAGGCCUUUUUCACACCUUUCAUUUUCUAAGUCCUCAAGCCAUUAAAUUGUUACCAAAAUCUUUCCGGAUAGCAGAUGUUACCUUCCAGAUUUCUGAAGCGGACACUAUUAAGUUAUUUUCUAUACAGGAUCUCAAAAAAUCAACAAUUCUCCUCAGUCCUUAACAACAACUGAAGGCCAAGAGUUCCUAUAAAGCCCAGGUUGAAGAAUGCCUAGUCAAGGAUUACUGGAUUACCAGAGAAGAUCCACAAUGCCUAAUUCAUUUUAAGUAAUCCUAAUUCUUUUAUUUUGUAAUGACCAAAUAAAAAUGAGAAAUGCAUAUCUCUAGGUUAUGCACCUUAACAUAAUCCCCAUAAUACUGGUAAAAUAACCUUUUGGCAGAAAACUACUUGCCAAAGACAACUUGCGGCACGGAUCAUAAAACAGGAAAGGAUGACAUCAACAUGUAAGGCUAACAUAAAACUUGAAAAAACAAAAAAAGUCAACUCACUUUUUCUGGAAGGCAACAUUGACUUUGAGGAGAAAUGGAAAUUAAGUUUGGAAGGUAUUUAUAUCAAGUAUGAGCAACAAGGGUAUCGUUGAAAAUAGUAAUCCUUCAGAAUUUCUAAAAAUGAAUGAAAGCAUGUUCUUCCAAUUGUUGAAGAGAUUCUGACAACCACUGAGGAGAAAUGCAUGCACAGGAUUGACCAUGAUCCAAAAUGGGGAUGGAGAAAGACUCUGAUCUCAACUUAAAUUUCCAAGACCCAGUAACGUGAUCUGCAUCUGCAUGCGUAAGACGAUUUUCUCCCAAAUAACAUUCUCAUGUCAAGAAAAUUUGUAAAGCUUCCCCGUCCUAUGAUUCAAAAGAGAGUAACACAACGGUGGAGCUUUUGGUACGGAAGAAAUACAGUGAUUCAAAAACUACAUCUACCCUCCACCCCUGCAGAGAAAAAAAAAAUCCUAUUUUCCCACCCUUCAAGCUAAUGUUACAAUUUUCCACUACGUUCACCAACAUAAGAUCUCACCCAACAUACACAGCAUAAUACCGACUACAAAACAAAAAUAAAUUUUACUAAAGCACAUCCUAUUCCUGAUAUAUAUUUUUCCAAUAUUUCUAUCCACUCUCCACUUCCUUCUCUGCAACUCACUAAAGAUAUAAGAGCAUAGAA
rnacentral:misc_RNA from 1 species